UAGGGAAUCUUCGGCAAUGGGGGCAACCCUGACCGAGCAACGCCGCGUGAGUGAAGAAGGGUUUCGGCUCGUAAAGCUCUGUUGUUAAAGAAGAACACGUAUGAGAGUAACUGUUCAUACGUUGACGGUAUUUAACCAGAAAGUCACGGCUAACUACGUGUCAG
rnacentral:rRNA from 1 species